AGCACGGGUGCUUGCACCUGGUGGCGAGUGGCGAACGGGUGAGUAAUACAUCGGAACAUGUCCUGUAGUGGGGGAUAGCCCGGCGAAAGCCGGAUUAAUACCGCAUACGAUCUACGGAUGAAAGCGGGGGACCUUCGGGCCUCGCGCUAUAGGGUUGGCCGAUGGCUGAUUAGCUAGUUGGUGGGGUAAAGGCCUACCAAGGCGACGAUCAGUAGCUGGUCUGAGAGGACGACCAGCCACACUGGGACUGAGACACGGCCCAGACUCCUACGGGAGGCAGCAGUGGGGAAUUUUGGACAAUGGGCGAAAGCCUGAUCCAGCAAUGCCGCGUGUGUGAAGAAGGCCUUCGGGUUGUAAAGCACUUUUGUCCGGAAAGAAAUCCUUGGUUCUAAUAUAGCCGGGGGAUGACGGUACCGGAAGAAUAAGCACCGGCUAACUACGUGCCAGCAGCCGCGGUAAUACGUAGGGUGCGAGCGUUAAUCGGAAUUACUGGGCGUAAAGCGUGCGCAGGCGGUUUGCUAAGACCGAUGUGAAAUCCCCGGGCUCAACCUGGGAACUGCAUUGGUGACUGGCAGGCUAGAGUAUGGCAGAGGGGGGUAGAAUUCCACGUGUAGCAGUGAAAUGCGUAGAGAUGUGGAGGAAUACCGAUGGCGAAGGCA
rnacentral:rRNA from 1 species